rnacentral:rRNA from 1 species
UACGUAGGCAGCAAGCGUUGUUCGGAGUUACUGGGCGUAAAGAGUCUGUAGGCGGUGCUCUAAGUUUGGUGUGAAAUCUCCCGGCUUAACCGGGAGGGUGCGCCGGAAACUGGAGUGCUCGAGCGUGGGAGAGGAAAGCGGAAUUCCUGGUGUAGCGGUGAAAUGCGUAGAUAUCAGGAGGAACACCUGCGGUGUAGACGGCUUUCUGGACCAUUGCUGACGCUGAGACACGAAAGCGUGGGUAGCAAACAGG